rnacentral:rRNA from 1 species
GAUGAACGCUAGCUACAGGCUUAACACAUGCAAGUCGAGGGGCAGCAUGAACUUAGCUUGCUAAGUUUGAUGGCGACCGGCGCACGGGUGAGUAACACGUAUCCAACCUUCCGUUUACUCAGGGAUAGCCUUUCGAAAGAAAGAUUAAUACCUGAUAGUAUGGUGAGAUUGCAUGAUAGCACCAUUAAAGAUUUAUUGGUAAACGAUGGGGAUGCGUUCCAUUAGGUAGUAGGCGGGGUAACGGCCCACCUAGCCGACGAUGGAUAGGGGUUCUGAGAGGAAGGUCCCCCACAUUGGAACUGAGACACGGUCCAAAACUCCUACGGGAGGCAGCAGUGAGGAAUAUUGGUCAAUGGGCGAGAGCCUGAACCAGCCAAGUAGCGUGAAGGAUGAAGGUCCUACGGAUUGUAAAACUUCUUUUAUACGGGAAUAAAGUAUCCUACGUGUAGGAUUUUGUAUGUACCGUAUGAAUAAGCAUCGGCUAACUCCGUG